CCACUCCUCCCUCCCGACGAAACCCGUGCAAGCACAUACGCACACCACCGGUUCCUCAUCCUCCUCACGAUCGCCCCAAUCCCGCCUGCAAGCCAUGGCGGCCGCCCCCAGAUGCCUUGUCGAUCCUAAUCCACACGCUACCGCGCCUCCCUUGCGAAGACGCCUCGCCAUGGAUCUCAAUCGGCGCCACGACGGCCAUGGCCUCCCCACCCGCCGACGUUCCAGAUCCGGCCAUCGUUGACCCCCUCCACAUCAGUGAUCGGUCAAGGUAGGGAGUGUGGCUCUAUCCAUCUUCCUGCGCGUACUGCGUCCGUGUAUCCCGGGCAAGGGUGCUUGUGAGACCGGGAGGCGAUCAAAAGGAGGAAGAGGAGAUCCAUGGUUGGGGAUACAUUCAACGACCUAGGCAUCAUCCUCCCUGACGUCGUACUCGAAGCCCGUAGCCAUUGCCUCCUCAAUCUACGUUGGUCAGCAGCAGCAAGGUCAGCCCCCACUAUAUAUUUUCUUCGGAUCUUGCAUCGCCAUGGUGACUCCACAAAAUUUGUACAUCCAUUGCCGAUGUUGGUAUUUAUUCAGCAGAGAAUUAACAACACUAGACCAAAGCAAAGGGGGGUCAGCCUGAAUGGGACGUAUCACCUUCCAGAGGACUCACCCUAGCUAGCCUGCACGGUACCUUUCAUUAGCACUUCUCCUAGUAAGUUUGCAAAUUUUGGAUCCACCACUUUUGGAUCAUGCUUGGUGUGUGCUGACGGUGCGCGAGGAACGUGAUGGUUUUUCUCUGAAUCAUGCAUAGUUCUCUCAAUAUUGUACGUGUUGUUCUCUCGUGUUGUUCUCUGCAUGAUGUGUGUUCUCGUGUUGUUCUCUGCAUGAUGUGUGGUUGAUGGCCUGAUGGGGAUGCGGAGGCGACGACUAGCGGUUGUUCUAUUUACACCUGACAUGGUUGAGAGGCUAGGGAGCAGGCGAUUUUGCACUCAUAUUUGGUCGGCGAGGGAGAUGAAUUUGGGAGAGACGUGGCUGGGAGUUGCACCAGUCAUUUUUCCGCCCUCUCUAUGUUAUCCCUUUGCACUAAUCGGUAAUUGCUUUUCGACCAGGGGAUAGGGUAGCGUACACGAACAACAAAAUUGUAGAAGGUGAGGAGGACAGUUUGAAUCACAACAUUAUGUGGAGUAUUGAGAUGCAGAUCCACCUUCACCGACAUCACGCGCUCGUCUGUGACCUCCCACCAGCAGCGCCUUGAGGCCACCCACACAGGCGACCAAGCAAUUCCAUGCUGUCACCCUGCUACUUCGCCAACGACAUCGAGGAGGUCGUGGGUGAGAGCUACUGUCCUCCUUGGAGAACAUGCUGGUGCCCCAUGCGUACGAAGAAGAGCUAAGACACUCGCAUGGGUGCUCAAGGAAAUACACCAUAUUGAGCGAGCUUUAAUGUGACAGAGGAUCGUGGUGGUCGAUGGAUUCUGCACCUGGUAGUAGACUAAGAAAGGAACAUUAUGUAUGGAACACAAUGAUAUUCACAGCACCCCUGCACUAUGUGAGAUUUAGAAGUUGGUACCGCCGGCGGAUGCAUCCAUGUGCUAAUCUGCUGGCACCGAGUAGGCGGAGCCAAACGAGUGGGGGCCUCCAGCCGGCUGGUAGUGGACAACAACACCGGGUUUGUUAAUUACUCAACAAGUCACAGAUUGAUCUAUUUUUUAUUAGUUUGGAGUGGAUUAUCAGGCCUGCCGCGCAAUCAUAGAUUUACCUUUUGAUUUAUGUGGGUGGACAAAAACACCCUUUCUGAAGUUUUCUAGGGAUUGUAAUGAAGCACAACUUGCUCAGUGAUACCAAUCCCUUCGAGCUCCCUCAACCCUUCGCCAACACUUCUUCAGUUUCUCAACACAAUAUCGGACGCCAUAUUUUCUGUGGGAAUCAUUGACACGGUUCCUUCAGAAAGUUGUAUCACUGAAAUGGACAAACUGCUCUUAUGUAAUUCUACCACCCAUUCUGAUUAUGAGGCAAAUAUACAUGUUAUGCAAGCGUACUAUAUAUUGUUCAGGAUAGUGUGUGUGACAUAUGUGGGAACGGGGAGGAAGAUGAAUAUCAUGUUGUUAUAUCAUGCACAAAAAGUAAGGCGUUGAGAUUUGCCAUGAGGAAAGAGUGGAGGCUUCCAGAAGAAAAGGAGUUCUGGUACACUGGAACAAACUGGCUACAAAUCCUACUGGACAAGUAUGAUUCAGAGAUAAGAAAAAAAAUUCUGCUGUUGUUAUGGAGAACCUGGUUUCUACGAGAUAACUGUGUCCACAGUGAUGGCAAAGAAACCAUUUCGAGACCGGUGAUGUUCCUUGUGCAAUAUGAGGAGGAAAUCAGGAAUCUGUCGCUAUCUGCUGUUGGACAGGGAAACAAGAGUUGCUGGUCCCUGUCUGCAUCUGGACACACCACGCCUAGGAAUCAGCCGAACGUCGAGCCAAAUGCCCAGCGGAAAGAGCCGUCUGAAGGUGUUGUAAAACUGAACACUGACGCUGCCUUUUUGUCAGGCACAGGCCAAGCCUGGGCUAGCGCGAUCGCACGGGAUCAUACGGGGCAUGUUGUCUUCUCGGCGAGUAAAUCGAUGAAUAAAUGCAGAUAAGUUGAAGAGGCAGAGGGGCAAGCUAUCCUGAUGGGUCUGGUAUCGCUGUCAAGACUGUACCAAGGCCCACUGAUCAUUGAGACUGACAACAAAAUGGUUGCAAAUGAAUUGGGCCAAGCCAGAUCAAACCGAUCGAGAUGUUUCUGGGUUGUCUGUGAGAUAAAAAACACAAGCCGGGUCUUCAGUUCAGUUCGGGCCAAGGCCAUCAUAAGGGAACAAAACUGUCUAGCACAUGAGCUCGCUGCCAAAGCUAGAUGGCAUGAGGACUCAUUGAUAAUUGCGGACGUGCCCGAGGAGCUUCGUUCGCUGAUGCUAUCUGAAUGUACCAAGUGAUGUAUUUGGUCCUUUUUUAGGUAGUCAUCCUCAAAAGGAAAUAUACAUGUUAUGAAAUGCCUUCCAAGUCAACCACAUAGUCAUUUUUUAAGAACUGGUGGGAAUU